AAAUGUCAAAAUCUGCUUAGUAAGGAAACAGCAAUGAAGUGUUUCAUUAAGGACAAGUAGCAAAUUUAAAAGCAGAAUAAAACCCCAUAAAAUGUCUUUAAGACAUACUAGUACACUUGGGAGCCAUUUGCAUCUUAUUUUUGUGUUUGCAUUUUCUCUUUGAAAAUAUACUUGGCAAAAUACCUGCAGAAUAAUACCUAGGAAGAAUAAUUAAAGCCAUUUCUGUCAGCCUUUCCUUAAUGUAACUAAGCCAUCCAUU
rnacentral:lncRNA from 1 species